GUAGGUGAACCUGCGGAAGGAUCAUUAUCACGUAUCCACGUAUAAACCAAUCCGUGAACUGUUUAUCACUCACCUCUGAGCUAUGGCCGCUGUCAUUGGACACAUGAGUUCAUUGUAUGAUUAUGUGACUCGUCCUUUGGCAAUUAAGGCUGUCUCUUCGGAGCGUAUUAAUCAUACUUCUUUAACAUUAACCACUUGAACACUAUAUCAUUUUCUUUGUUUGAACUGAUUUGUUUCUUACUCAGCGCGC
rnacentral:misc_RNA from 1 species